UACGUAGGGGGCAAGCGUUGUCCGGAUUCAUUGGGCGUAAAGAGCGUGUAGGCGGCCAGGUAGGUCGGUUGUGAAAACUGGAGGCUCAACCUUCAGAGGUCGACCGAAACCAUCUGGCUAGAGUCCGGGAGAGGAGAGUGGGAAUUCCUGGUGUAGCGGUGAAAUGCGCAGAUAUCAGGAAGAACACCCGUGGCGAAAGCGGCUCUCUGGAAACGGUACUGACGCUGAGACGCGAAAGCGUGGGGAGCGAAACAGG
rnacentral:rRNA from 1 species